rnacentral:lncRNA from 10 species
GAGAAAUCUCUCCCAGGCACAGGUGAUACCUAAGAAAGCCAUGCUCUGGACACUUGAGAUCCUAGAAACUCUGCCAAGACUGCCCUCAGCCUGUAUCUGGACUUUGUGUGUCUCUUCCUGGGUCUAUUGCUGGAGGGACACAGAGAAGUACCUGGAUGGAAGAGAUGGAAGAGACAGUUAUCAAAUAUUUACUGAAAUAAUUUUUAAGUGAUCUAAGUUAAAGAAGAAUUUUAAAGAGUGACCAUCCCAUUAGAAGAAGACAGAUGCAGCAGAGAGGCCACUAACUGUCCAUGUCACAGGAUACUCCUCCUACACCCCCCUCCCUCCCUGAAGUGGUCUGUUCUCUACAAUCAUCUCAUCAUCCCCAUGUUUUAACUUGUUUUCAUAAUUUUUCAGAACCCUAAUCUCAAUCACAUAUGAGUAUUAGUAGAUUUCAUUAUUUAAAUGAUUUAAAAUAAGGUCUGGAUGACAGGGUAUGCUUGUCUGAUUUAGGUAGUCUACUUCAUUUAAAGAAGUACUUAGUUGCCUAAAUAAGAUUUAAACAUUUGGAUUUGGGAAUCUCUUUUCACUUGUUCUUUUCUUGGUCCAUAAGAAGAGCCAGAACCACAGCAUGCCUCUCUAUUUCAGAGCUACAUUAAGGUUGUUAAUUUAGUAGAUCAGAGAAAUCCACUCGAUAAAAAUGUUUUUAAGAUUUCAUCGUAGCACUUGAUGAGCUCUCUUGUCAACAAGUUCUGGAAAUAUUUACUGGAUGAUAAUACAAUCAACCCUUUACUUCCUCCUCUUCAAAUAAGCCAUACAGAAUAAAGGAAAAAUCUACAGAAUAUUGGCAAUUGGGAUGACCGUUGGCCUCUACCUUGCCUAGAGAGGAAAGAAAGGCCCAAGGACCUUGAGAUUUCAUGUGCAGCAGCAUCUGAUGGGCCGGUUACCUUCUUUGCCCUGCACAUUUUCUCUAUUCCUCUCCCCACAGCUCUCUGCCCUGAGAGGUUGACCUGGAUGAGCUGCACCCACAAGCUCAUUUGUCCUCAGGUUUCCAGUUGAGUUCCACCAAUGGGAGGCACCAUCAGGAGAUGCAGACUUCAAGAAGAGUGAAGCUGGGAUGUUUACUUCCCCAACUCGCUCUACCGAGCUGCGUGUGAGCUGGCUGGGUACUUCGGUGAAGUUUGCAGCUCCCAUCGGCGCCCUUUUCUACAUCAGCCUCCGUAGCUGCCCAACUUUCUUUUGCCAUUGCAGCCAGUUGAGUGGCAAAACUGGCCCCCUCAAUAUUUUACUGUUCCUUGUUGGCUUCAUUUUAGCCUGUCCACACUUUUGUCAAUUACCUUUUCUUUAAACUCUCAAUCACCUAUUUGAACAUGCCACCGGGGAUGCUGCUUUGAUCCUGCCUGACAACCUUGGUUUCUAGUUUAAUAUUUUCUCCUCUCCCCUCCGCCCCACACUAUGCUGGGUUGAAGCAUAAAGGAAAUAAAAGAUUGCCUUCAUGGAAAUGGGUCUUAUUUCUUUAUUUAAAAAUUAUAUUUUAUUGGAGAUAUUUGAUAGUUAAGAAC